CAGCUCUAUUCCAAAACAUCUGAAGUGAAAGUGAAAACAAAGACUUUUCCUUGGAUUUUCUUUCAACCUUGAGAGGCGGACGAGGCACACAAAGACAACAAUUAGAUCGUGAAACAGCAAAAUGACAAAGAUUUACGUACAUGUAGCCGGACAGACACUGGGGUCUCAUGAGGACUUUGUAAAAAAACUCACCAAUAGAAAAAGAGCAAAGAUAGUGAACUCACCUGAGGAGAGCGAUUGGACUAUUGUCUUCUGCCCCAUCGUCAGUCGUUAUCAGACCGACAUCGAGGCGGCGUUAUCCAGCGUCCCAGGUGAAGCAUCCGGCAGGAAGCUGGUUCUGGUGGCGAUGCAUCACUCGUUUGACAAAGACUACGUUUUCCCAAGAACCGGCGAGGUCUGCAGUGGAGUGGACGUCCAAGCAGAUUGUCUGUUUUAUGAUAAAAAGGGACUUUACAAGUGCCCUUCUAAUAAGAAAGCAAUCAAGAUGGUCCGCGACAAGCUGGAGACUCGUGGAGGUUGUUGCUUCACAUUUUAAAGUGUGGAAGAAGAGCCAUCUGACAAAUUAUUAAAUCCAGAGUGACACGUCAGGUGGCCUCUGGUGAACUGAAGAGAACAACUCAACCGGCCCCUCACGUGAACCUCCUCUUACUUAUGGUUCAACUACAUGUACAUGAUCACAGCACGUCACUCGGCGCUGUCCAUUAUUUAUUUUAUAUGUAACUGUAGGCUUGUAGGAUCCACAAUAAAGGAAUCUCAUGUCGUC